rnacentral:misc_RNA from 1 species
GAGUGCGACCCUUGAGCUAGUCAAGAGCCGCUCGCAGAAGAAGAGUGCUUUCAUGCUUGGCAAGAGAAGGGUAUCUCUCGCAUUAAGUUUUGGGUGAGGAGAAAACAAGACACUGAAACAAGCAUGCUGGCUGGAGACCCAGCCAGCGCCAGUUGCGUUCAAAAAUCUGAUGACUCACGGUUCUGCAAUUCGCAUUGCUUAUCGCACUUCGCUGCGUUCUUAUCGAUGCGUGCGUAACAGA